UUCAAUUAGAAAGGAGAAAUGUCUUUGUUUUGUAUCUUGAAAUCCAAAGAUGAAUGAUUUCUGUUGAUUUGCUUUUGGCUGGAUUAAAAGUAUAUCAGAAAUGUGAUUUGGAAUGUAACCUACUUUUUUAAGCGUGUCAGUAGGACUGACUGAAACUGUCCACAUUGUCACUGACUAAGUGUUCUGGAACACCAGUCCCUGAGAAGAGGCUUCUCAACACAUCAGCAGUGUGCGAGGCAGUAGUGGGGGCUAUUGGAAACAUGUCUGGCCACUUAGUAGCUGCAUCCACAACUACUAAGAAAUUUGGUCUGGCAAAAUCCACAUGAAUCCUCUCUCAGGGCAAUGCAGGCUACUCCCAGAGAUGUAGAGCUGCUGUUCUUGGCACCCUCUGCACGUGUUGGCAUCCUGAACAGUGCAUGGCAAGCUGCCCAAUCUGCUGAUCCAUUCCAGGUCACCAGACAAAGCUUCGAGCCAACAGUUUCAUUUUGACCAUGCCCAGAUGACAGGGAUGAAGCUCCAACACUUGCAUCUAUAUUAUAAGGCAACACACCGAAGGUAAAACUCACUGGACAAUGUGGAUGAUAAUGAUUCAACCGAAGAAGCUACAGUGGGGACAUUCUUGAAUUGAUUGAGGUCUUUCCUGGCCGGUGGAGCUGCAGAUGGAGACGAGCAGGACAGUACAAAGAUGGCGUUCCACAGGACUACCAGCCUUGUUCCUACGAACACAGUUUAUAUUAUUUCAUUGCUCAGUAGACCACAUAGAGCUUUAACAAAAACUUUGCUAAUGAAUUCUAAAGACUUCAUGAGGUUCAUCAGACAAUUUGAAUCUGAUUUGAUUAUCAGUGAUAUAAAACAAUUGGCUGUGCACAGAUUUAUUUAUCCCCGAGUCAAAUAAGAGAUGCCAGACAAAUUCCUAAUUUUUUUUUUGGGAAUUGCAGUUGGACAAUUGACGUUUGCAGUUUGGCCAUGUAGCUGACAGCAAUGUGCCAGAACUAAGGCUUCCAUGUGGGAGAACCAAAGCAGUCACCGAUCCCUGCUGGAGCAUAAUGAAACUGUUACAGCAGCCAUGUACAUUUUUUGAUCAUCCCUGUCACCUAUUGCAACUAAGAAAGUUCCUGUUCUCUAUGUGUGCAGCUGCAGAGCUAAACAGCCAGGGGUCUGAUGAGGGUCAUGAGAUUGGCCACAACUUUAAUAACUAGUCUAUAAGGUCCAGGGUACAAUUUGCAAUGAAGUCUCUUCCUCGCUAGGUUGCACAAUUUGAAAUGCUGAAAUAUCUGGAUGUGUUAUAUUUUGUAACUUCAAAAGAUUAAACUAAUUCAAAGGAAGGUAAAGGAGUCCAAAUGUGGGUCUGACUUUGAGUUUACUUUAAGCGAGAUGCAUGCAUAUCAUGUGGUAGUGUGAUGAGGUAUGCAAUUCAUGUAUU